UGAUUGAUUGUGACUUUUAAUUCCCAAAGACU
rnacentral:piRNA from 1 species